rnacentral:lncRNA from 1 species
AUUUUUUUGGUAAUUAAAAAGUACUCUUUCAUUUCUCAGUACAAAUUCACAAUAAAAGAUGUGGUAUAAAAGUCAAAAUUUCUCACCCCAAAUUGUCUCCCGUUUUAGACAAAUUAUUUGAUACUUCAAUGCUAAGUUAAAUUUUAGUUGUCUCGUAGAAUUUCAAAUCCUCCUUUUCAUCUACCUUUGCUGAAGUUUCUUCUUAUUUCUUAUUUCUUCUUUCUACUUUCUCUCUAGCGGGAUUGCUGUCUGUCCUAUCAUAGCCAUUGGUGGCUUGUAUCUGGUUCAUGGAUAUUGAUCUCUUGUGGUUUCAAGGGGGGUGGUUUCUAUUUCAGAUUUGCAUGGCAAAAACUUCAUCAUUUUCUUCAGAAAUCUCCGCAAAAUUUACGAACCCUUUUCUUCUUUUUCUUGGGCUUGUUUUUAUCCUUCUUGUUCUUGUUAAUUCCUCUGAUCCUUCAAAAUCCUCCAUGGAUUCAUCACUUCCCUCUGAAAGACUUCUCUUGGACUCAGAUUCCGCGGCAAAAUCGACCAAUUUUCACCCAAGAAAGAGGGAAAAGCACUCACAUGGAUCUUCUCAUUCCAAGAGAGAAUUUGGGGCUGGUAAGCAUGAAGUUCCCAGUGGACCAAACCCUAUUUCCAACAAGUAGUAAGUCCGCUUAUUUUAAAGCAUGAAUUUUCACAGGGAAGAAGAAGAAAGGUUUGCUAGAGCUGCAGUAAUGGCAUUUAUUUUUGUAUUUUGUUCUUUUUGUCUCUCUCUAUCUCUCUCUAGUCAUUAAUUUUAUGAGUCGCCAUUAAUACACUACUUGUCCUCAGUGAGAAGUUUGUUAUCUUAUGUUGUCAUCUUCAUCAGUGUAUAUCCAGAGACAAAUCUUUAUUUAUAUAUUAUAUAUAUAUAUUUGUAUGUACACAGUGGUUUAUAGAGAGAAAGUGAGAGCUAUUGGUUUGCUAAUUAUGUGAUUGAUUUUGCUCAUAUUCUUAAUUUACUGUGUAAUUUGUUUAAAUUCAUCUUAUGCUUAAAACUUUUGCUUCUCUGUGCAAAUUUUCAAGAAAAUAGAAAGAUCCAUUGUCAAUAGGUUUGCAACUCUGCACUAGGGUUUUACCCCCACGCACCGCACCCCAAGGGGGUGGCGAGAAAUGGUGUCAGAAGUUGUGGGAGGACCUUUUGUUUUCU